rnacentral:rRNA from 1 species
UACGUAGGGUGCGAGCGUUGUCCGGAAUUAUUGGGCGUAAAGAGCUUGUAGGCGGUCUGUCGCGUCUGCUGUGAAAAUCCGGGGCUCAACCCCGGACUUGCAGUGGGUACGGGCAGACUAGAGUGUGGUAGGGGAGACUGGAAUUCCUGGUGUAGCGGUGAAAUGCGCAGAUAUCAGGAAGAACACCCGUGGCGAAGGCGGUUCUCUGGGACGGUACUGACGCUGGAGACGCGAAAGCGUGGGGAGCGAACAGG